CCCCACUGCCCCCGGGCCGGGGCGCUUCGGAAGGCAGGCCUAGCCUGGUAUCCCGUCCCAGAAUGGGCGAGAGGUCUCCGGUGUGUCUAACGGCCUCCCUGUUGGCGAGGCAGCCCGUAGAGCUGUGUCCAGACCCGGCACGAACCCCGGGCGUGGCUGGGAACAGUCUCGGGGGGAGGGUGUUCGCGGGCCGAGUCCCGGUGAACUCUUCCCGGUAGUUGUCGGGUCCGGAGCAGGUCGGGCCCGGCCUGGCCUUGCGGGACGCUGGCUGCUCCCAGGCCGAGCCCGGAGCAGCGUAACGCAGGCUCGGUGCCUUAAGCCACGACCAGAGUUUGCUGGACAGAGCUGCCUGUCUCUUUCUUACCAGAAAGUUAUUAGGUGUGCUUGCAGAGCGUCUGUCAUCUCUGAACAGUACGGGCUGUGAUAGCUGUGGGAUGUGACUGGAGCCAAAGGUGACAGUCUUAACACCUUAACGUCUAGCAGAAGUUAACUUGUAGUUCAUGGGAGAACUGGAUUUCCUCGCAGUGUUCCUGACAUCUGAGGGAUAUGUCUUUCGUAGCAAGGAGGACUGCCACCAGCUCUCUUAAGUUGUGAAGGAAGUUCUAUUUAUCCAGUUGCUGAGCCUCAGAUUUACAUAUAAGAAUUGGUGUCUUAGCUUAUCUGAAGAGACCUCUUAACCUGAAGUCCAGCAGAAAUUACUUGCCAACACAUUCACCUUGUUUUCAUACAAGCAUUGCCAAGAUGUGGGAAAUACAUUUAUUUUAACUUACGGGUGAGUCUGAGAAAGUAUCUAGGUGGGUUUUUUGUUUGUGGGUCUAUGGUUUUCUGAUGUGCUGUUGCUGCUAACUGUCCUCUAAGACAGUAGUUAUUCCACCUUCCUAAUGGUUUUCAUUUAAGAUCUGGUAGAUAAAGCAAAAAGAGGAAAAGAAAAAAAGAGGCAAUUACAGUCUUUUUAUAAACUGUCUCCUGCAUGUAACUCAAAUCAGGUCACAGGUUUUGACUAGCAAAGAAGACUUUUUAAGGAUCUUCACUGAAAGAAAAAUAGCAUAACAGCAACACCCAAAAAGCAGAACUACGGUUUUGUUUCCUAUUUCCACUUGAUGCUAGCAGAAUGGUCUUACACAGAGGUUCCCAAAGUGGAGGUGGGACCUUGAGAAGAUUUAGGGCAAUAAUGAGUAGGGCUGUAAGGCUAAGAAACAUCAUUUCACAUGAUCUUGAUGUGUUUGAGGCCAAACAAAUUUAGCAUUAUGAAGUAGAGAAAAGGUCUGUGAACUGCUGAUCUACUUACUUGCUGAACAGUAAAAUGCGAUUUAGGAGACCCAGAGACAAGACUGAGACCCUCUCUAUGAUUUUUGGCUUAUUUGUUCAUUUGCUCCAUGGCUGAAUUUCACCAUUAAAAAAUAAAUGUAGUAAUUUACUUCAUGCUAUAACUGGUCGGAUGUUACAGUAAUAGAGCACAAAGCAAGUCAGGAUUUUGUUAGGGUCUUCAGUCAGCAGUAAAUUGUAUCUUGCAGCUGCAUGCUAAGAUUGAUAAUAUUCUCUGAGACACGGAGAACAUGACAGUUCCUGUGACAGGAUGCUAAGGAGAAGAAAUCCUUCAUCUGCCUUACUAGACAGGGCUCAGCAGACCCCAGCUUCUUCAGCACAGCAUCAAACAAGGAGGAUUGGCAGGAUAUCAGUGUCCUAAAAGUGUCAGAUUCAAGCCUCCCUAAAAAUAUUCUCUUGUACUGUAUAUUUGCGAGAGGUGAGGGUUGCAGUAUUGAAAAAAGCUAUACAGUAAAUAAGUAGUAAAUUUCAUUUUCCUCAUGUUGGGAAUAGUCAGUCCUUUUGACUGUGAGUUUAGCUACCAUUUGCCUUUAAAGGAUGGGUGGAGCUACAGCAGUGAUAGAAUGGCAGGUUCUUACUUUUGCACGGAGCUGUCUGACAUUCACACACAGACAAUAUAUGUAUUUUCUCCACAAAUAGUAAGGAGAGUGAUCUGAUUGUCCAGUGUGGUUCUUUGGCUGGAGGAGAAGUAGGAGGAGAGAAACAGGGGGUGGAUCAAUGACAUAUGACUGCUGUGAUCUUCUUCCUUGUGUGGAAGGUUUAUGGCUACAGCAGAUGCUAUUCUGGGACCUCUGAUAUGGUUUUGAUUUAGUUUUAAUAACCUUUCACUUUGUGUGUUUUUCUAUUACACUAUCUUGCUACUAGACUUUUUCUGGGGGAAAUAAGCAAUCUGUACUCCCCCAAGCUUUCUUGCCCUCCUUUGCUAAGUAUGUCCUAAGAAUAUUCUGAGACAGUUAAGAAAUCUAUGACAUAAAAGUAGGAAACACGUGAGACCAGCUUUAAACCACUGUCCCACAAUGACUUCUUUGGGAUGGGGAGCAAAGGACAUAAAAACUAUCUGGGAGGAGGAAGUAACUGGAAGUAACAGUAAGCAUUUUUUACUCUGCCAUUAUUUUCCUCCCGGAGUUCCUUUCCCAUGUUUCUGCAUGGUUUUUAAGCAGAGCCAGGAGCAAGAAAGGACAGGAACAGAAACUAAUCAAAUUGCAAUCAAAAGAGCUUUUUUAUUAAAGUUAUUUGGUACUAAGGUCAGGUACUGUCUGGACGAUUUGGAAAGUAACAGCAAGGCCACAGAUCUGUUGCCCUUACCUGCCCAAGCUCCCUGAAAGGAUGUCUCAGUUGCUAUGAUUGCUCAGCUUUUCUUCUCACUGCUCUGACUGCCAGCAAAGAUGCUAACUCAAGCUGGCUGUGGCAAUGAGAAUAGCUAUCCAUGGAGACGGUGGGUGCAGCCUGGCAAAGUCCUUGCACAGAGCGCAUAGGGCAGCCAGCAAAUGGUAACAAUUGUAUUUGUGAUCCUGCAAAGCUGAACCGGAGCAAGGGCUGUAGGGCAGACUGAAGUCUUCCUGCACUGACCAAUGGAGAUUUAUCUGUACCAUAAAUGUGGAGAAAAGGUAGCCCUGAAGGUGAAUCAUGGAGCAUUUUAAAGCAGAGUACCAGCUGCUGUUUGGAGGCCAUGCCAUUAAUUUCAUAUAGCAAAGCCAUAAAAAAAAUCUUAAGCUUAUUAGGGUCUUGUCUAACUCCCAAAUAGAUUUCUCCACAGGACAGUAUCUUACAGUCUUGCUUAAAGAGCUUAGGAGCAGGGGUGUUCUUACAGAAUAGAGGGAGAAAUUCUCUACAGGAAGGGUAAGGAGUGAAAGUCAGGAACAGAUGAAUAAACAAGGUAGAAAUAACAGCUAACAAAAAAGCUAUUGUCAUCAGCCUUUGUAAUGUCAGUCUUGGAAGGACUCUGUCCCCUCUGCAUGUCCAGUUUUGAGUCAUUUUAUCACAUCUAAUUCACUUUGUAUUUCUCUGUUUGGACCCCUCUGCAAUUACUGCAUAUUUAUAAAAACAGCUUGCAUUUCUCUAGGAUUUUCAUCUAAAGAGUCCAAACACACCAUUCAUUCUCACAUCCUUUAUAAGAGAUAGCUCACUGAAGAGAUGAACCACCUAAAGCACAAAGAGAUGAAGAAAAUCCUGAAGUCUAACAACAGCAGAUAUAUUUGCUAUAUCUCUGGUCUGUCGUCCCUGCUCUAUAAUCUGACCUACUGUUGUAAUGUUAAUGACUUUUUUUUCAGGUAUCCUGCUUCCCAAAUUGUUAUUUUUGGAAGUGAACUACAAAUAUUUACUUAUUGCUGCUUUUGAAAACCUCAGAGGGCUAAGAAAUAGUGUGGUUUUGUGUGGCAGAACAUCUUCUUCAGGUUCAUCUUUAUUUUGCUUGAGUUUUCUUGGACUGGAAAAUAGAUGCCAUAAAGGGAUCAAAUACAUUUUUAAGAACAUCAGAAGACAAGCUGCUACAUCAAAAUGCUUAUGGACCUGAAAUAUUUUGUAUUUGUUUUACUGAACAGAUUAAAAUCAUGUGAAAGGAAAGUCUAAUCUGUAAAAGUUUAAGUAUCUUCAGAAGACUUUACACCAGCAAUUAACUGUAGAGAGAAGAUCAAAUAACAGUAGUAACUCAUAGGAAAA